rnacentral:tRNA from 1 species
AAAGCGACGGUUUGCUAAACCGUUGUAGGGACAAAAUCUCUGCCCCGGGUUCGAAUCCCGGCCUCUCCG